GGGAGCUUGCUCCCUGGAUUAGUGGCGAACGGGUGAGUAACACGUGAGCAACCUGCCCCUAACUCUGGGAUAACGCUUCGAAAGGAGUGCUAAUACCGGAUAUGAGCCUGGAAGACAUCUUCUGGGUUGGAAAGUUUUUCGGUUAGGGAUGGGCUCGCGGCCUAUCAGCUUGUUGGUGAGGUAAAGGCUCACCAAGGCGACGACGGGUAUCCGGCCUGAGAGGGCGACCGGACACACUGGGACUGAGACACGGCCCAGACUCCUACGGGAGGCAGCAGUGGGGAAUAUUGCGCAAUGGGUGAAAGCCUGACGCAGCGACGCCGCGUGAGGGAUGAAGGUCUUCGGAUUGUAAACCUCUUUCAGCAGGGACGAAGCGAAAGUGACGGUACCUGAAGAAGAAGCACCGGCUAACUACGUGCCAGCAGCCGCGGUAAUACGUAGGGUGCAAGCGUUGUCCGGAUUUAUUGGGCGUAAAGAGCUCGUAGGCGGUUAGACACGU
rnacentral:rRNA from 1 species